AAGAUUCUUCAAGGAGGAAAUCACAAUUUAGGAUACUCUAUUAAGUACUGUAGCUUUCAACUUGUGUUCUGUUUUUGAAUUUCUCCCACCAAAGUGAAGGUUGAGACUCAUCAUAGUAAUGGCUGCAACUCUCAAUGGUAGCACCAUCGUUCAAUCGAAGACUGUUUCAUCUAGAACGCUAGCAAGUCCUCGCAUUCUCUCAAGAAUAUCUUCUCCUGCAAGUGAUAUCCCUGGCACGGUGAA